rnacentral:rRNA from 1 species
GACGAACGCUGGCGGCGUGCUUAACACAUGCAAGUCGAACGGAAAGGCCCUGCUUUUGUGGGGUGCUCGAGUGGCGAACGGGUGAGUAACACGUGAGUAACCUGCCCUUGACUUUGGGAUAACUUCAGGAAACUGGGGCUAAUACCGUAUAGGAGCUCCUGCUGCAUGGUGGGGGUUGGAAAUUUUCGGCGGUUGGGGAUGGACUCGCGGCUUAUCAGCUUGUUGGUGGGGUAGUGGCUUACCAAGGCUUUGACGGUUAGCCGGCCUGAGAGGGUGACCGGCCACAUUGGGACUGAGAUACGGCCCAGACUCCUACGGGAGGCAGCAGUGGGGAAUAUUGCACAAUGGGCGGAAGCCUGAUGCAGCAACGCCGGGUGCGGGAUGACGGCCUUCGGGUUGUAAACCGCUUUCGCCUGUGACGAAGCGUGAGUGACGGUAAUGGGUAAAGAAGCACCGGCUAACUACGUG